GAAGCGGCAAGAGCUCAAAUUUGAAAGCUGGCCCCUUCGGGGUCCGCGUUGUAAUUUGCAGAGGAUGCUUCGGGUGCGGCCCCUGUCUAAGUGCCCUGGAACGGGCCGUCAGAGAGGGUGAGAAUCCCGUCUUGGGCAGGGUGCCCGUGCCCGUGUGAAGCUCCUUCGACGAGUCGAGUUGUUUGGGAAUGCAGCUCUAAAUGGGUGGUAAAUUUCAUCUAAAGCUAAAUACCGGCCGGAGACCGAUAGCGCACAAGUAGAGUGAUCGAAAGAUGAAAAGCACUUUGAAAAGAGAGUUAAACAGCACGUGAAAUUGUUGAAAGGGAAGCGCUUGCGACCAGACUCGGCCCCGGGGUUCAGCCAGCACUCGUGCUGGUGUACUUCCCCGGGGGCGGGCCAGCGUCGGUUUGGGCGGCCGGUCAAAGGCCCCAGGAAUGUAUCGCCCUCCGGGGUUGUCUUAUAGCCUGGGGUGCAAUGCGGCCAGCCCGGACCGAGGAACGCGCUUCGGCACGGACGCUGGCGUAAUGGUCGCAAACGACCCGUCUUGAAAC
rnacentral:rRNA from 1 species